GACGAACGCUGGCGGCGUGCCUAACACAUGCAAGUCGAACGAGAUCCAUGGGAGCUUGCUCCCGGAAGAUCUAGUGGCGAACGGGUGAGUAACACGUGAGAAACCUGCCCUGGAGUGGGGAAUAACUCGGGGAAACUCGAGCUAAUACCGCAUACCCUCGGAUGGUCGCAUGGCCGACCGAGGAAAAGAUUUUAUCGCUCUAGGAGGGUCUCGCGGCCUAUCAGCUAGUUGGUGGGGUAACGCCUACCAAGGCAACGACGGGUAGCUGGUUUGAGAGAACGAUCAGCCACACUGGGACUGAGACACGGCCCAGACUCCUACGGGAGGCAGCAGUGGGGAAUCUUGCGCAAUGGGCGAAAGCCUGACGCAGCAACGCCGCGUGCGGGAUGACGGCCUUCGUGGUUGUAAA
rnacentral:rRNA from 1 species